GAUGAACGCUGGCGGCGUGCCUAAUACAUGCAAGUCGAGCGAACGGACGAGAAGCUUGCUUCUCUGAUGUUAGCGGCGGACGGGUGAGUAACACGUGGAUAACCUACCUAUAAGACUGGGAUAACUUCGGGAAACCGGAGCUAAUACCGGAUAAUAUUUUGAACCGCAUGGUUCAAAAGUGAAAGACGGUCUUGCUGUCACUUAUAGAUGGAUCCGCGCUGCAUUAGCUAGUUGGUAAGGUAACGGCUUACCAAGGCAACGAUGCAUAGCCGACCUGAGAGGGUGAUCCGCCACACUGGAACUGAGACACGGUCCAGACUCCUACGGGAGGCAGCAGUAGGGAAUCUUCCGCAAUGGGCGAAAGCCUGACGGAGCAACGCCGCGUGAGUGAUGAAGGUCUUCGGAUCGUAAAACUCUGUUAUUAGGGAAGAACAUAUGUGUAAGUAACUGUGCACAUCUUGACGGUACCUAAUCAGAAAGCCACGGCUAACUACGUG
rnacentral:rRNA from 1 species